GAUGAAGAACGUAGCGAAAUGCGAUAAGUAGUGUGAAUUGCAGAAUUCCGUGAAUCAUCGAAUCUUUGAACGCACAUUGCGCCCCUUGGUAUUCCGAGGGGCAUGCCUGUUCGAGCGUCAUUAUAACCCCUCAAGCUCAGCUUGGUGUUGGGGCCUGCUGCACUGGCAGCCCUUAAAAUCAGUGGCGGCGCCAUCUGGCUCUAAGCGUAGUAAUUCUUCUCGCUAUGGAGUCCUGGUGGAUGCUUGCCAUCAACCCCCAAUUUUUCUAUGGUUGACCUCGGAUCAGGUAGGGAUACCCGCUGAACUUAAGCAUAUCAAUAAGCGGAGGA
rnacentral:misc_RNA from 1 species